AUCCUUUGGUCCCUCGGAAUUUGAGGCUAGAGGUGUCAGAACACUUACCAAAGGAAUAAGUAAUCUGUGGUUGUCAAGCAUCCAUGGCGACAUUUCUUUCUGACUUUUCGAUUUCAGCUCUUCCUAUUAUAUCGAAGCAGAAUUCAGUAAGCGCUGGACUGUUAACCCGCUGACAGGGAAGAUUAUUUGGGUUUAGACCGUAGUGAGAUAGGUUAAAUUUUACCCUAUUGAUGAAUAUUACCGUAAUAGUAGUUGAAAUUAGUACGAUAUAAACAGUUGAUUUGGUUUUGCAGCUGUCUGAUCAGGCGUUGCCGCGGAGCUACCAUCC